CCUCGGGUGGCAGCAGUGAGGAAUAUUGGUCGAUGGGCGCAAGCCUGAACCAGCCAAGUCGCGUGAGGGAAGACGGCCCUACGGGUUGUAAAGCUCUUUUGCCGGGGAGCAAGCCUGAGCACGUGUGCCCAGGCGGAGAGUACCCGGAGAAAAAGCAUCGGCUAACUCCGUGCCAGCAGCCGCGGUAAUACGGAGGAUGCGAGCGUUAUCCGGAUUUAUUGGGUUUAAAGGGUGCGCAGGGGGGCUGUUAAGCCGGCGGUAAAAGUUAAGGGCUAAACCCUGUCGAGCCGUGGAAACUGGCAGUCUUGAGUGCGCGAGAGGUAUGCGGAAUGCGUGGUGUAGCGGUGAAAUGCAUAGAUAUCACGCAGAACGCCGAUUGCGAAGGCAGCAUACCGGCGCCCAACUGACGCUGAGGCACGAAAGCGUGGGGAUCGAACAGGAUUAGAUACCCCUGUAGUC
rnacentral:rRNA from 1 species